rnacentral:rRNA from 1 species
UACGAAGGGUGCAAGCGUUACUCGGAAUUACUGGGCGUAAAGCGUGCGUAGGUGGUGAGUUAAGUCUGUCGUGAAAGCCCCGGGCUCAACCUGGGAAUGGCGAUGGAUACUGGCUCGCUAGAGUGCGGUAGAGGAGAGUGGAAUUCCCAGUGUAGAGGUGAAAUUCGUAGAUAUUGGGAAGAACACCGGUGGCGAAGGCGGCGACCUGGUCCGUGACUGACGCUGAGGCGCGAAAGCGUGGGGAGCAAACAGG